rnacentral:lncRNA from 1 species
UGGGUACUUCGAUCCGACGUCGGUACAGUGGUGCACGCUUGGUGACGGUUUCUUACCCUUACUCUUCUAUUGUUACUAUCGCAUAGUAUAUUGAGCUUGCAUCCCCGUUGUUUCUAUUAUACUCUACUCAUAUGUUUCUAUGCUUAGUAUCAUGUGUAGGAGUAGAGUAGUUUAUCCAUAUGUGAUACCGGUGACCUGAUUGGUCGGUUCUCGUACUUUGUUUCGGUGACCUGAUUGGUCGGUUCUCGUACUUCGUUUCGGUGACCUAGUUGAUCGGUGC